AUCACUACUCAGCCUUUUGGCCGAGAUCAAGUAUAGUAUGUGUUCUUAUCAGUUUAAUAUCAGAUAUAUCCUCUAUUUGAAGACUAUAUAUUAAAUGAAAAUAUUGAUGGGGUCAAUUUAUAAUGCAAACUUCUAUUACCUGAACCCAAUGAGAAAUUCAGUAACUUCCCUGAAGAGGGAAUUAUU